UACACCUACGGGAGGCAGCAGUGGGGAAUAUUGGGCAAUGGGCGCAAGCCUGACCCAGCAACGCCACGUGAAGGAAGAAGGCUUUCGGGUUGUAAACUUCUUUUAUUGAGGACGAAACAAAUGACGGUACUCAAUGAAUAAGCCACGGCUAACUACGUGCCAGCAGCCGCGGUAAUCCGUAGGUGGCAAGCGUUAUCCGGAUUUAUUGGGUGUAAAGGGCGUGUAGGCGGGACUGCAAGUCAGAUGUGCAACCCAUGGGCUCAACCCAUGGCCGCAUUUGAAACUGUAGUUCUUGAG
rnacentral:rRNA from 1 species